ensembl:lncRNA
AGAAAACAUGAGCAAAAUUGAAAUAAGAGACAAUAGUAUAUGUGAAAUACUUAACAACAUAAUAAAGAAAUAAGAUGAUGAUGAGAUUAGGUUGGUAGUAUAUUAUGUAGUUACCAAUCUGUAUAUUUCUCAGAAGAAUGUAUCUUCUUAAGGAUUGCUCUGUCUUUGGCCAGCUUCUCCAUGAACUCCUGGCAGGGGAGGGUGACGUUUGUCUUCACAAUAAGCAUGGCCUUGAUGGUAGGAACAGUGAACCUAUUUCUUGCUGCUGUCCAUAUAUCAUUCAUUUGAGAGAACACUCUUGACUGGUGCAUUACUUCUAGGUAAGCACAUGACAACAGACACUAAUCUAGCCAGGUUAGUGUGUGGGAUGUCAUUCUCUUCGAAGUGGGUAACCACCAUGUCUCAGAUGUUUUCCAUUCUUCAAGCGAUUCCAUUCUUCAAGCGAACUCUUGCAGGCCGGUAACCGCGUCAAACAAUGCAUCCUCAUUGAUGGUCACAUUGGGGCAUUUUUCCUGCAGUGUGGCUGCUGCUUUCUAGAUCUCUUCACGUUGAUGUUGCCUUUUUAAAAGGAGACAAUGUAAAUCUUUUAGAUUAUGUAAAAAUGAUCUUACAAUAUCUGACUACUAUUGGCAGCAGCUUUACAUGUCCAUGAUUGACGCAUCAAUGGACAGGGACACAAAUUCAACCUGGUCUAGGUCCGGGUGUUACCAAAGUAGUUGCCCAUGUUGCUAACACGUUACUCACUAUGGCGUAACUAUGAUUGUGUCGCAUAGUGUGGUAUGCAAAGACACCCUCCUGCACAGCUAAAUCAUAUUCUUCUUGGGAAAGCUCUACCUUCUUGAAGAAUGUGGUGACAGAGGGCCUACCAACACGGGCAAUCGGAGAGGCUUUAUGCUUUUUCACCUGUUGAUGUUCUACCCCUGUCGUUCUUCCUCCGCUGCCAAUUGAAAAAGAGGAAUUGCAGGGUGCAGUGAGGAAUGCCACUAGAUUGUAGCUUGUGCUAGCCUUGCCCAAAUCUCAGUGUUAUCAAGGUUGGUGUGAAACUGUUAUAACAUGUGUUCUCUCUCUUCCCUGUGAAAGUCAAUAUGGUUUCUAGGUGGUGUGGAACAUGUGAGUGACCAUUGUUCCAGAUGAGGGAUUGUUGGAAACUGACAUUUUUUGUAACUAACUAAUUGACUUGAGCAAGUUUUUACUAUGUUUAUAACUAUAUAAGUGGACCAAUUUAAUUGGUUAGAUGGAAUGAUUUAUGAGCAAGUGUAUAUGUGGCCGGAGGCAAAGUACAAAGGGGGCCUGUUGCUGAGACAGAAUGUUUCUAUAAGGGUGAGGUAAGUCCCGAGGCAAAGGAACCUACGCAGGCCCAGAGUAGUGGCCUAAAAGAUGGUAAUAGUAGAAGGAGUCCUGAACCAAAGGAACAAAUGCAAGCCUGGAGUGGCCCAGAAGUUAAGGUGGUUAACUUCACUAUAGCAUUGGCAGGAAAAAUGCCUUUUAAGACUAUGAUCAACAAUGUAUUAUGAAUCUUAAUGGACCAAAUGCUUGCUCUGUUGGGUUUGUGGUGACAGCUAUGAGAACCGUUCCAAACAAUGAGAAGAUCUGAAGGAUCCGUUUAAGAGACGACAAACCUCCUGGAAUGAGAAGUGACAUCACUCACACUUAGGCACAUACCUCCAGAUUACUCUUCUAAUAUGACUGAUCUCGCCGAAAUACAUUGCCACUGCAACUUGGUUGGAAUCCCUGGAAGUUGGCGAUCCCAAAUUGCCAAAUGGGCUGCAGCAUGUGUUUUAUGCUUAGUUUGCCUAAUUGUGUUAUUAACAUGCUGUGUAUGUGUAUUAAAAACAAAAAAUUCACUCCUGUCAAUAGAAGUACAACCUUUAUUAUGAUACUAUUACCAUACUAAUUCGAUUGUAUAACCCAGAAUGAAGGGUUUGAAGGUGUCGGUCUCAUUACAUUUAGGGAGUAAGGGAAUGUGGAGGAAAAUGGAUCGUCUGGAGACAGCCUUGAACUGUAUUUCUUGUCUCAUAAAAUCAUGAGUUCCUGUAGGUGCUGGGUAGAGGUAUUAAGGGGAGACGCUCCCUCCUCAGACCUUUUGGCAGAACCCCCAGAAUAUGUUCUAUAAGUUAAGAUAGGAGACGGUGCUAGACACAUGCAGGAACCAACCUAUGUAGCUUGUCUGUGUAAGCAGUAUAUUAGAGAACUAACGGGACUGCCCCAUAGAAGCUCACUUCAGAACCGUACUUUAUGCAUCUAAGUUUGACUGUGGCCUCUCCAGCUUGCUG